UGAUCCAUAGUAUAAUGGUAGUACCCUAGAUUUUGGUUCUAGUAGUUUUAGUUCGAAUCUAAAUGGAUCAA
rnacentral:tRNA from 1 species